rnacentral:lncRNA from 1 species
UAAAUAUAACUAUUUAUCAUUAAAUAUGAAACAAACAAAACAGUACAACUUAAAAACAUCAACAACAAUAAAUAACAAGCAAAAUAAUAUCAAAAUAAAAUGUAUUAUGAAAAGUAAAGUUGUAUGGAUUGAUUCAAGUAAUGAUAUUAAAUUGCGUCUAAAUAAAGACACACGUCUGGAUUUGUGUAAAGACCUUAAUAAUAACAAUUUAAUUGUAAAAAAAAAAACAAAAGAUGAACCAAAACGCUUAAAACAUUGUACUGCUAAUGUAAAUACGCUUAAAAAGUAUAAUACUAAAAAAGCAAGUUUACCACAUAUAUAUAAAAAUGCUAAUUACAACAUAAAAAAUAUAAAUAAACCAGCUAAGGAGUUUAAAAUAAUAGUAGAAAAAAACAAUAUAUGUAAUAAUAAAAUUAAUACAAAACAUUUGCAACAUAAACAGUCAUGUCAACAAAAAAAAAAUGGUAAUAAUACAAAUAUUGUUCAAAACAAAACAAUAAAAUAUACAAACAAUGAAAAAAACCAAAAUGAAAUGAAAGGAAAUAAAAAUAAUGAUAUAUUAAAAAAAAACACUAUUCCAGAAAAAAACACUAUUUUAGAAAAAUACAAUAUUCCAGCAAAAAACAAUAUUCCAGCAAAAAACAAUAUUCCAGCAAAAAACAAUAUUCCAGCAAAAAACAAUAUUCCAGAAAAAAACAAUAUUCUAGAAAAAAACAAUAUUCCAGAAAAAAACAAUAUUCUAGAAAAAAACAAUAUUCCAGAAAAAAACAAUAUUCUAGAAAAAAACAAUAUUCCAGAAAAAAACAAUAUUCUAGAAAAAAACAAUAUUCUAGAAAAAAACAAUAUUCUAGAAAAAAACAAUAUUCUAGAAAAAAACAAUAUUCUAGAAAAAAACAAUAUAUUAAAAAAAACAGAUGAUCUUAUCAAUUUAAAAAAACAAAAAAAAGUUGAAAACAUACAAAACAAAAUAAUAUGUAAACAGAAUCUCACAACUGAUAAAGUCGAAAAUAUAAUUGUAAAAUCAGAUAACAACCAAAACAAACAGAUUGAUACACACCUUAUUAUAAAUAAGAAAGCUACUACGGAUACAACGAAACAAAGGAAUGUAUACACACGGAAUAAAAAAUGCAGAAGUAAGAAAAUUAAGAAAAAAAGUAACAAAACCGUUAAGCAAAAAAUUAACACUACUAACAAAGGACGCUUAAAAAAUAUCUCGCUCUUAUUCAAACAAAACAAAACAAAUAAUAAAACGAAAUUAAAGCAAAAUUGUAAUGUAUCUAUUAAAAAAAAAAAGAGACGAAAUUGUGAUUUUUUUAUUAUCAAAAAUAAAUAAAGUACUUUUAAAAAAUAUAAAACAAAACCUAAUUGUUCAAAUUAAACGCACUGCAUUCCAAAUAUAUGCUAACUUUUUACAAAAUAAAAAAAUAAAAAAUAAUUGUUUUUUUUUAUAC